AAAAAAAACAGCUGAAAGCGAUUGGGAAUAAUUUAAUCACAAAAGAGAAUGUUUAGGGUUCUAAAUAUACUCGCGUAUAUAGUAGCUGUCUGUUUCUUUUUUAUUGUCUUUUACUUUGCACUCCACCUUGGUGAUAUUGUCAAUAACAGGCAGU
rnacentral:ribozyme from 1 species